rnacentral:rRNA from 1 species
UACGAAGGGAGCUAGCGUUGUUCGGAAUCACUGGGCGUAAAGCGCACGUAGGCGGAUUUGUAAGUCAGGGGUGAAAUCCCGGGGCUCAACCUCGGAACUGCCUUUGAUACUGCAAAUCUCGAGUCCGAUAGAGGUGGGUGGAAUUCCUAGUGUAGAGGUGAAAAUUCGUAGAUAUUCGGAAGAACACCAGUGGCGAAGGCGGCUCACUGGCCCGGUACUGACGCUGAGGUGCGAAAGCGUGGGGAGCAACAGG